AUGUAUGUGACUCCCCUGCUCCUUCCGUCCCUCAUCCAUCAGAAAUCUGGAAUCCUCCGCUUCUUCUUCUUCCUCCGUGCGCGUCGUUUCCUUUGGUUUCUUGGAUCUGCCUCGGCGAGGGGAGAAGAGCGCCAUUCCAACGCGGGCUCCGAGCUGGUGUCCAAGAAGUUGAAUUUGGAGGAGAAAAUGUCGGUGAUCCAUGCCGACGACAUCGAGAUAUCGCUGUGCGACGGCAACUCGGAGGACGAGCGCCGCCGCCGGAAGAUAGGGUCGCUGCGCCGCAAGGCCAUCCACGCGCUCAAGAAGCGCGGCAGGCGUCGCGUCGACUUCCGCUUCCCGCCGGCCAUCUCCAUCGAGGACGUCCGCGACGCCGAGGAGGAGCGCGCCGUCUCCGCCUUCCGUGAGCGUCUGGCCGCGCACGGCCUCCUGCCCGACAAGCACGACGACUACCACAUGAUGCUAAGGUUCUUGAAGGCUAGGAAGUUCGACGCCGAGAAGGCAAUGCAGAUGUGGGCAGACAUGCUGCGAUGGAGGAAAGAGUUUGGGGCCGACACAAUACUUGAGGAUUUUGAGUUUGAUGAGCUGGAUGAGGUGCUGUGCUACUACCCUCAGGGCUACCAUGGCGUCGACCGUGAAGGCCGACCCGUGUACAUCGAGAGGCUCGGCAAGGUCGACCCUAACAAGCUCAUGCAGAUCACCUCUGUGGACAGGUACAUCAAGUACCAUGUGCAGGAGUUUGAGAGGGCCUUCAGAGAGAAGUUCCCUGCCUGCACAUUGGCUGCCAAGAGGCACAUUGACUCCACCACCACCAUCUUGGAUGUCCAGGGUGUGGGUUUAAAGAAUUUCUCCAAGACUGCUAGGGAGCUAGUACAUCGCAUGCAGAAGAUAGACAGCGACUAUUAUCCUGAGACGUUGCAUCAAAUGUUUGUUGUAAAUGCGGGCAGUGGGUUCAAGUUGAUCUGGAACAGUGUGAAGGGCUUCCUUGACCCAAAAACUUCAUCCAAGAUUCAUGUUCUUGGUUCGAAUUACCAGAGUCGACUUCUUGAAGUAAUUGACCCAAGUGAGUUGCCAGAGUUUCUUGGUGGUUCAUGCACCUGCAUUGACAAAGGAGGUUGUCUUGGGUCUAACAAAGGGCCAUGGAAUGAUCCUUAUAUCUUGAAGCUGAUACACAAUCUGGAGGCUGGUUCUGUGAGGGAUAUCAAGCCAGUUUCUGAAGGCGAAGAAAGAAGCGAUUCUUCUCUUCGACUGGAACAGUUGAAGUGGCAAGGCAUGAUGAGUGACACAUCAAACGCUGAAUCAGGGUCGGAUAUUGAUGACUUUGGAUCCUCAUUUAUUCCUAAAGGUGCUGAGUAUGGCUGCCUCACUCCAGUCCAUGAGGAAGUAAAGGGCAUAGAUUCAACUUACUAUGUCUGUUACGAACAGAGUUCCCUGGAAACGUCUCUUGAAACUGGUAGGAGACUGCGGCGAACUACUGAAACUGUGCCAAAACUACUAGCUGAUAACCGGCAAUUUUCCAUCAAUGGAAGCCCUCGUGAUUUAGGGAGCAAUGCUGGCAAACUUGAUGGUUCAAUCGUCCGAUGGGGCUUUGAAAAUCUUGUUAAAGUUGUGACAGCCUUGAUCAAGCUAUUCUCCUUCUUCAAGCUUUUCAUCUCUAGUAGAGCACUGAGGAGGCUUGAAAACGCCCGGCCUUCCACGGUGCCAGUCCCAGCUGCAGAGAAGCCGCAGCCCCGAACAGUCAGUGCUGAUGAGAUGAGUGCUUGCUUACAGCGCAUUGAAAAUCUUGAAUCUGUGUGCAACCAUCUUGCAAGCAAGCCACCAGAGAUGCCCAAGGACAAGGAGCAACAGUUGCUAAACUCGUUCGAGCGCAUCAGAUCCAUCGAGGCUGACCUGGAGAGGACCAAAAGAGCACUGCAUGCGACGGUGGCGAAGCAGAAUUCAUUGGCGGAGAGUCUGGAAGCUGUACAGGAGUCGUCGAGAGUCAAGAGGAGGUUGUUCUGCUCAUAG
rnacentral:rRNA from 1 species